UACGUAGGGUGCAAGCGUUAAUCGGAAUUACUGGGCGUAAAGCGUGCGCAGGCGGCUUUGCAAGACAGAUGUGAAAUCCCCGGGCUCAACCUGGGAACUGCAUUUGUGACUGCAUGGCUGGAGUGCGGCAGAGGGGGAUGGAAUUCCGCGUGUAGCAGUGAAAUGCGUAGAUAUGCGGAGGAACACCGAUGGCGAAGGCAAUCCCCUGGGCCAAUACUGACGCUCAUGCACGAAAGCGUGGGGAGCAAACAGG
rnacentral:rRNA from 1 species